ACGAGUCCCUUACCAGCACAGACCGGCCUAUAGGAGCCCGCCUUCCAAGCUGGCCAUGCCGGUUCGAUCCCGGUCACCCGUGCCA
rnacentral:tRNA from 1 species